rnacentral:lncRNA from 1 species
AAGAAAGAAAUAUGACCUUCUUCACCUAAAUAUUGUAGAAGAGGUAAUGAUUGCAACCUGGAUGUUUUACAUUCUGAGAUGCUAUUAAACCAAUAUUCAUCACAAAUGUAUUGAUAAUUUUUUAGAAGAACAGAAGAGAUCCCAUCAUAUUAAAUGAAGUGUAUCAAUUAUAAGAUGCAUGCUAACUCCAGAAAAAGCAAAGCAUGAAAAAAAUCUGUCUUAGAAUGGAAAAAUACAGUAGUUAAACUAUUUUUAACUGGAAUUUAAAUGCAACAUUUUAGGAUAUGAAGCUGUCAACUCAUUUUGAAAACUGCUGGCUCAGAUGACCUCAGCGAUAGGAAACCUCUAAAAGAUCAUGAAUCUAAUCAGCUUUGCUAUUCUAGCUUUAGUUGGAAGAAGAAGCUUCCAAGUUAAAGAUGGUAGACGAAAUACUGACCCAGUUGUGUCCUUUCCCUCCUGAGAAACCAUGGUGGCUAUCCACGAUGGAGAGAGAGCAGCGGAGACAAAAAGUGAUUUGAUGGCCUCGCAUCCGUGAGAAGGAGCAUCAUCUGUGGACCUUCCUGGGGGUGAGGGGCAGAGAAGUGAGGCAGGCAUCAGAAAACAGGAGGGUCGAUUAAAAUCUGUACAUUGACAGUCAACCCUCAUUAUCCUCCCUCACCGAUGCCAGCACCCCACCCCUCGGGUAACCAGUGAGUAGAACACCAACAACCAACAAGCAAGCAGCUGCCUUCCAGAGAGGAGAGGAGAAGGUUUUCUCCAGAGGAAGGAAACCAUCCAGACCAAAGGCAUCACUUACUAACAUGCGGAAACCCCAUCGACUCCCCGAAGCAAAACCUCUAGACGAGCCUUUCACUAAUGAUAACACACUCAUUCUCCUUCACGUGUUACUAUUAAAUGUGAACAGUGAAGAAUCA